rnacentral:ncRNA from 1 species
CUUCAGGGCAACGUGCAAUUCGUGACCGGUGGUAAAGUCCACGAGCCGCAAGGCUGAUCCGGUGUGAUUCCGGAACCGACAGUAUAGUCUGGAUGGAAGAAGU